rnacentral:lncRNA from 1 species
GAGACUCCAGACACCUCCUUGUGGCAUCAGACAUAGCCCUCAUUCCUACCACUGCAACAAAAUGCAAGUUAGAGAAGGAACGACACCCAAUUGCUGAACAGCACAAUACACAAAAAAGGACUACAUAAGCGAAACGAUAGCACUUACUCUUUUCUCUCUUCUCUCUUUCUCCCAUCUUGUAUUCUCGGCCUCGGUGAUCAAGCCAGCCUUGAAUAAGUUGUCAAAGCUUAAAAGGGUCUUGAAAUAACAACCGUCUUCGGCAAUUUUACCCCGCACCUGUUCGAUCGCCACCACGUCUCUUCGACACGCUCGAUUGCUUCAAGAAGAUUGGCAAAGAAAGCAAACAUAGGUUAGCUUCGGCAAUCAAAGCAUUAUCUAUAUACAAUCGGCACACAAAUGCUAUUAUUUUUUUAUUAUUUUUUUUAAAAAGGACAAACUACCGAAAGGCAUCCUACAGCUUACCGAUUAUCUAGAAAGUCAUAGGGAUAUGCCUCUCAACAGUUACACCCAGUGCCAAUUCUCAAGCUCCGAACACCAGCACCCGCAGCCGAUACCAAGUCUUUUGAGAGCUCGGCACACCGACCAUAAAGUCUUUUGAGAUGACGUUCUCGAAUUCCCCGCUAGGAUAUUUGCUGGGACUCGUGUCAACCACGAAAGGCACUCCCACAAGUCCCACAUUGAAACUAAGUACCAAAAGAACACCCAGCACCCUCUAUAAAUAGAGCAUCUCGCCCCAGAUACAGGGUAAGACUUUCAACUUGACUCACAUGCUCUUGGAUUUUCAAUAGUUUGCUCUCCUCUUAAACAAACUUUAGAAUUAGAGAGCCUUCGGCAAUACCAUACCGGUGUCUUAGGUCUCAUAUGUUGUUUUCUCUCUUUGGCCCAGAUCCUGCAUCUCCAACAUAAGAGGAAUGUGCUUGCCAAAGGCACAUUUGGUCCCUCGACCGUCCAAGUCACCUGUAAGUUGCUCUCAUCACUAUCUUUUUAGUUUUAGUGUCGACAAUUUCUAUUGCUU